rnacentral:lncRNA from 1 species
UGCAAUCUCAGCUCACUGCAACUUCCGCAUCCCAGGUUCAAGCGAUUCUCCCGCCUCAGGUUCCCGAGUAGCUGGGACUACAGGCAUGUGCCACCAUGCCCGGCUAAUUUCUUUCUUUCUUUUUUUUUUUUUUUGCAUUUUUUAGUAGAGAUGGGGGUUUCUCCUUGUUGGUCAGGCUGGUCUCGAACUCCCGACCUCAGGUGAUCCACCUGCCUCGGCCUCCCAAAGUGUUGGGAUUACAGGCGUGAGCCACCGCGCCCGGCCUUCAGUUUCUUCCUAGGCCGUUCUGUCACCCAAAUAGCUGCUACCCAGAGGGGCGGGGUUGACCUAGGCUGAAUAUCCACUUUGUUUUUAUGGAUGGCUCCCUUCCCCCAUUCGCCUUCCCAGAAUAUCCUUCAAGUUCCACUUCCCAGGGAGCUCUGGGGGAGGGGCGGCCAUUCUGGCUCCGUCCCCAGUGGCCACCUUGGAAACAUCGGCUGGCUUUGGGACUAUUCCACCUCCUUCCCCUGAGCCCAGAUCUGCCCCCACCAUCCUUUCUCUGGCUUCUUUUAGCAAGUUAUCAACUAAUCACUAACUCCUUCCUUUUCCUCUGCAUGCCAGCCUGAAAAUUCCAAAUCUAGCCUCUGAAUGUCUUGGCUCCAUCUCUUCAGACCCCUUUGCCUUUAAAAAAAAAACAAAAACAAAAACAAAAAAACCCAUAAUGCCCACAGAAUGUCAAAUGAGGGGCCUCCUGCCUCCUGCUCUGAAUAUUCUGUAGCUGUAGAGGCAUUUUAACCCUUUGUCCUCCAGCAUCCCUUCACUUCCUCAUCCUCUCUAACCUCCUUUUUCUUUUUUUAAUGCUGCAGCCUCCACACUCCACCCACAGGUGGACCCUUCCCUUUUUCUCUAGCUGGAUCUGUGUUUCUUCCCUUCGGGCCCCCAUGUUUUCCUGCACCCGCCCUACCAUGGUCUCUCUCUGCAGUUAUUUAAUGCCUGUGUCAGAUCUACUGUAAAAAGAGGAUUAAGUAAAAUAAAAUGAGAGCAAUUAUAUAUAUAAAUAUAUAUCAUACACA